UACGUAGGGUGCGAGCGUUGUCCGGAAUUAUUGGGCGUAAAGGGCUCGUAGGCGGUUUGUCACGUCGGGAGUGAAAACUCGGGGCUCAACCCCGAGCCUGCUUCCGAUACGGGCAGACUAGAGGUAUGCAGGGGAGAAUGGAAUUCCUGGUGUAGCGGUGAAAUGCGCAGAUAUCAGGAGGAACACCGAUGGCGAAGGCAGGUCUCUGGGCCGAUACUGACGCUGAGGAGCGAAAGCGUGGGGAGCGAACAGG
rnacentral:rRNA from 1 species